UACGGGGGGUGCGAGCGUUAAUCGGAAUUACUGGGCGUAAAGCGUGCGUAGACGGUUAUUUAAGUCGGGUGUGAAAGCCCCGGGCUCAACCUGGGAAUUGCAUUCGAGACUGAAUAGCUAGGGUACGGUAGAGGGAAGUGGAAUUUCCGGUGUAGCGGUGAAAUGCGUAGAUAUCGGAAGGAACAUCAGUGGCGAAAGCGACUUCCUGGACCAGUACCGACGUUCAGGCACGAAAGCGUGGGGAGCAAACAGG
rnacentral:rRNA from 1 species